UACCAGCUCUCCGAGUGGUGUGGAUGUUUAUUGGGCCUAAAGCAUCCGUAGCUGGCUGGGCAAGUCCCCUGUUAAAUCCACCGAUUUAAUCGUUGGUGUGCGGGGGAUACUGUUCGGCUAGGGGACGGGAGAGGCCGACGGUAUUUUCGGGGUAGGGGUGAAAUCCUAUAAUCCCGGGAAGACCACCAGUGGCGAAGGCUGUCGGCUAGAACGCGCCCGACGGUGAGGGAUGAAAGCUGGGGGAGCGAACCGGAUUAGAUACCCGGGUAGUCCCAGCUGUAAACGAUGCAGGCUAGGUGUUUGGGCGGCCACGUGCCGCUCUAGUGCCGCAGAGAAGUCGUUAAGCCUGCCGCCUGGGGAGUACGGCCGCAAGGCUGAAACUUAAGGGAAUUGGCGGGGGAGCACCACAAGGGGUGAAGCUUGCGGUUU
rnacentral:rRNA from 1 species